rnacentral:lncRNA from 1 species
CAGUCUCUGUCUUUCCUUUCACAGCCAAGCUUCUUGAAAGGCCUGUCUACACUUGCUGUCUUCCUUCCUCACCUCCAAUUUCCUCUUCAACCCACUGCUUCCUGACUCGCUCUACUCCGUGGAAGCACGCUCACAAAGGGCUAAUCUCGGGCCUUGUCGAAGGAAGAGGCUGCAGACGUUAAUGAGGUUAGCUGCUGGAUUCCAGUAUUCGUCGCAUAAGGAUCCUUCUUUGUCUGCGAAGGAAAAACACACUGAUUAUCAUAAUGAGUUCCUGACCUGGCCAUCCCGGGGUGCCCUUGACCAGCCCCGUGUCUCCUCAGGGUGUCCCAGCACCAGCCUGGCACAGAGUGGGGCUCAGUUAGAGUAUGUGGGAUGUUGGUUUCGCCAGGUGAGUGAAUGAAAGGACUCGACCACCACAGCUGAGCCACUAGCUGGGCCAUGCGAAGAGUUCUAGGUGCAAAGGCUGGAGGGUGGAAUUCAUUUUUGAGAGGUGUGUGAGCAGCUUCCGACCCCUGCCCCAUUUGAACGGGGGCCUUGCUGGUCGCGUCCCUGCAUUCACCCGCGCGGCCAUCCCGUCAUCCAACAGUUGAUCCUAACUGAGCACGCCCACGGCCCUGGUCUGGCCUGGGCACCGGCCACCGUAGCCCAUCCCUUGAUGGCCUCUGUGUCCCCAGGAGGGCGGGCCGGGGGGUUGCCCAGGGGCUGGAGCAGUGGACUGUGGCUCCAUAGAGGUAGGCCGGAGGGUGUGAGGGCAGAUUCAAGCUAUCCCCAGGGCUCUGCUCUGGUCGGAGCCAGCCCCUUCUCCCUCUCUGCCUUCCCCGCCCCAUUCCUGAUGCUGAACUGUUCUGGACCCCUGGCCCUGAGUCUCUCAGGACCAAAGUGGGCACGGGAACAGCUGUAGUGUGUGCCCCCCCGGGCUUUGGCCACAGGUCUCCCUCUCGAGGUGUGGUUGUGACUGCGACCCUUCCCUUGCCGUGAUGCCUUCCUCCCCCGGGGCUUGGUCCAGCUCCUUCACUCUCUAGCAGCUGCUGGGGCCCACCUCCCAUGCCGAGGACCAGCAGGGGAAACCUCCAGGGAGCAUCUGCAGGCUCUGCUUCUGCCCGGCUGCUGGCUUGCUCUCCCUGGUGGCUCUCCAGCGGCCAGCUUCCUCACCCACCCGGCACUCCGCUUUGCUCUGUCUCCUGAGGUGGGCCUGACCAACCUCCCCUUCUCUGCCUCAGUCCCUGGGCUCCAGGGCUCAGCUCCACAGCCCUCUGCCUAGCAGGCUGGUUCUCCCUGCCAAGCCCAUACCUGUGGUCACCUGGCCCUCCUGUGGUCUGAGUACCACUCCCCUGCCCCAGGAGCCACUCCCACUCCAGCUGCCUGUUUCCAGCAGGUUCCCAGUGCCCCCGACAAGCCCCUGCUGGUGUCUCCAUCUCCUGCCAAGCAUCCUCCAGUGCCUCCUCCUGUGGGCCUGGCCUCAGGGCUAUGGACAGACUCCUGUCCCAUCCCAGAGACCCCUCGUGAUCGUGCCCUGGUGGGUGUUGCCCCCGCCUGCCUUUGCCUCCG